GUUCUUUCCAACUCUGCUGCGCCUUUCUCAGUAUCAACAUUACCCUCAGGCUGGCAGCAAACUGGCAGCUGCUCCAGAAGAUUUUGCCUCUGAUUUUGCUGGCUAUGACUGAGUCACCUGUCCUUCACUGAACCAAAUAUUACCGAAGAGAGUGAUUGAUAUUUACUGAAAUUAAGCUCAUCCCUAGAGCUGGAUUUGGGAUCAGCUUCUCCUGAAAACACAUGACUGAAAGGACUCAGGAAGGUUACCUGUCUCUGCUGAGAAGUUAAAUAUUGAGCCCUGACUAACUUAAAAAGAGUUCCACCUUCGUGAUGACCUUAAGAAAAGUAUUCUUUUGCCCCCAUGCAUGUGAAUAUUGAAGACACCUAACAAGAAACCAAUUGAGCCCUUUUGGCUACAUAGAAACCAAAUCAUUUAACUUAAAAAGUGGCUGAGCCAGUUGAGGUGAUAGCCAUGGAAAAUGGCCUGGGGAAAAGAUGGCUUUACUGAGGCAAAGUGGAAUGUGCCUCUGUAAAGCUGUGGGUUAUAGAGGAAAAAUGAGACUUGGAGAUGUAAAGAAAUUUGAAUCCAGUCAUUUUGCCAAUGACACAAAAGGAGCACGAUUCUUGGAGAGGAUCGAAGUGCUAAGAGCCGAGCCUAAAUCCAAUCGUAUCCCAAGCCUGCGAUAUGACCCGUCCACUUACAUUAGCCUCCAAGGCCACGUGACACCACAUGUACGGGAGGAGGAGUAAGACCACUAACCAGCGGGGUCCUGAGACUAAUGAAAAGUUCGAAAGCACAGAGUUCCUGGUGGCCUUCCAAGUGUCAAUGUUACUACUUCCUAACUCCGAUCCAUCAUCUCUUUUGUGGACUGACCAAAUUUUUACUAAAUGGCUGCAAUAUGGAGAAUACAGGCAAAAACCUAAAGAA